rnacentral:snRNA from 1 species
CAGUGUUACAGCUUUUUAAGAAUUUGUCCAGCAGACUUUCUUGUUUUUACUGGAAGCCUCCCU